CGGACGGGUGAGUAAUGUAUGGGGAUCUGCCUGAUGGCGGGGGAUAACUACUGGAAACGGUAGCUAAUACCGCAUAAUGUCUGCGGACCAAAGCGGGGGACCUCCGGGCCUCGCGCCAUCAGAUGAACCCAUAUGGGAUUAGCUAGUAGGUAAGGUAACGGCUUACCUAGGCGACGAUCCCUAGCUGGUCUGAGAGGAUGACCAGCCACACUGGAACUGAGACACGGUCCAG
rnacentral:rRNA from 1 species